UACGAAGGGGGCUAGCGUUGCUCGGAAUCACUGGGCGUAAAGGGUGCGUAGGCGGGUCUUUAAGUCAGGGGUGAAAUCCUGGAGCUCAACUCCAGAACUGCCUUUGAUACUGAAGGUCUUGAGUCCGGGAGAGGUGAGUGGAACUGCGAGUGUAGAGGUGAAAUUCGUAGAUAUUCGCAAGAACACCAGUGGCGAAGGCGGCUCACUGGCCCGAUACUGACGCUGAGGUGCGAAAGCGUGGGGAGCAAACAGG
rnacentral:rRNA from 1 species